rnacentral:lncRNA from 1 species
ACAUAAUGCAUCUAGGGGUGAAUUCUAUUCUUUAUUCAAACUCGAGUUUGGUUUGGAACCGUAUCUAUUGCGAUUAUUACCCAAGGACAGAUAUUACAUAUCUAAACUUCGAUGCUCGAAUUUGAAGUUACCUAUUGAGACGGGUAGAUGGGCGGGGAUCGCGAGGGAAAAUAGAAUAUGUACAUUAUGUAAUGAGGGAAUAGGGGAUGAGUUUCAUAUAUUGUUUACCUGUAAAAAUGCUGAUGUUUCUGCUCUUAGAUCAAAGUUUAUACCAAAUUACUAUGUAAUGAAUCCAAGCAAGAACAAAUUCACUGGCUUGUUGUCUAUUUGUAACGUACAAGUUCAAAGGAAUUUAUCAAUUUUUGUG